GAUGAACGCUGGCGGCGUGCCUAAUACAUGCAAGUCGAGCGAACAGACGAGGAGCUUGCUCCUCUGACGUUAGCGGCGGACGGGUGAGUAACACGUGGAUAACCUACCUAUAAGACUGGGAUAACUUCGGGAAACCGGAGCUAAUACCGGAUAAUAUAUUGAACCGCAUGGUUCAAUAGUGAAAGACGGUUUUGCUGUCACUUAUAGAUGGAUCCGCGCCGCAUUAGCUAGUUGGUAAGGUAACGGCUUACCAAGGCAACGAUGCGUAGCCGACCUGAGAGGGUGAUCGGCCACACUGGAACUGAGACACGGUCCAGACUCCUACGGGAGGCAGCAGUAGGGAAUCUUCCGCAAUGGGCGAAAGCCUGACGGAGCAACGCCGCGUGAAUGAUGAAGGUCUUCGGAUCGUAAAACUCUGUUAUUAGGGAAGAACAAAUGUGUAAGUAACUAUGCACGUCUUGACGGUACCUAACCAGAAAGCCACGGCUAACUACGUG
rnacentral:rRNA from 1 species